rfam:Schistosoma curassoni strain Dakar, Senegal genome assembly, scaffold: SCTD_scaffold0000836
ACCUUGCUGACGAGUGCCGAAUAACACGAAACCCGGGUUCAGGGU